GGAAGCACGAAGAUCACUAAGGACUUUUCCGGUUGUAGCUUGGUUAGGUUUACAAACAAGGGUCAUAUCUAAGGCCAUUGAAAACGAACUUGCCGAUGCAAAAGAGACAUUCACUAUACAGCUAUUCACACAUCUCAACUUCAUUUCACUUGUUUCUUGUUUGAAACUUUCACAACACUUAUUUCACAACUCAAUUUUUGUUUUUCACUAUUUUUCCUUCCAAGCAAGCAUUCAUUUUUAUUUUCUCUAUAUUUUUU
rnacentral:lncRNA from 1 species